GAAUCUACACAAUGAUGCCUGAUCCUAUUGUGGUUCAGUUUGGGAGAGAACUUGUUGAAAUAAAAUCAAAAGGUUAUCUUUCACAAGAUCUAACAAGUUCAGUUGGUCUUGAAAGGAAAUGCCGUGAGAUUGUUGUAACAGAUGAAAGGGAGAGAAGAUCGUGGGCAUUGGAUCUGAGGUUCUAAGAAUCUAAUUACAAAGUGAAAAAGACAGAAUAGAGACCUCUGUAGGAGUCGGUCGAUCGAAAGCCAACAGCCUCUGCAAAAGACGGAGUGCUAAUGGAUCUGCUUUAGAGAAUUUUUGCGAGAAGAAAUUGCAUCUGAUUUUGGUGUGCCAAGAAGAUCAGUAAUCAACUCCAACUGAUGGACAACACUUUUUCCCGGAAACAAUGGCUUCCAUGUUAGUACCUCUGCAAAGAUGCAGCCAAUGCUCCAAACGUCGAUAGCUGGAGUGUACUGCAGAAUAAUAUUAACUAUCAACGAUGUAACAUAAGGAGACAAGAACAACAAAGAAAACUGUAUGGAGCUUCACCAAGCCAAGUUGAUUAUAUACAUCUGUUGAAACCGAGUUGAUCAUGCCUCACCCGGAUGUCAAGCCAAUGGCAUAUGCAAACAAUGAUUAAAGAUGUUCUCUCUUCCUUUAAGCUUAUCCAGCAACAGUUAUUCUCAUGUAGAUUCAGUUUUUCCCUUUUUCAAUUUUUUUUUGUUUUAGAAACCCACUUAAGGAUUCCAUCAAUGGUCAAUAAAAUUUUCAAAAACU
rnacentral:lncRNA from 1 species